GAAAUCGAAUAAGUGCAUACGGUGGAUGCCUUGGCAGUCAGAGGCGAUGAAAGACGUGUAAGCCUGCGAAAAGCUUCGGGGAGCUGGCAAAUAAGCUAUGAUCCGGGGAUGUCUGAAUGGGGAAACCCACUUACCAUAAGGUAGGUAUCGCAACAUGAAUACAUAGUGUUGCGAGGCGAACGAGGGGAAGUGAAACAUCUCAGUACCCUUAGGAAAAGAAAUCAAUUGAGAUUCCCUGAGUAGCGGCGAGCGAAAUGGGAUCAGCCCUUAAGUCGAUUAUGCUUUAGUGGAACAGUCUGGAAAGUCUGGCCAUAGUAGGUGAUAGCCCCGUACACGAAAGGGCAUAGUCGAUGAAAACGAGUAGGACGGGACACGUGAAAUCCUGUUUGAAGAUGGGGGGACCAUCCUCCAAGGCUAAAUACUCCUGACUGACCGAUAGUGAACAAGUACCGUGAGGGAAAGGCGAAAAGAACCGUGGUGAACGGAGUGAAAUAGAUCCUGAAACCGUAUGCAUACAAGCAGUGGGAGCACCUUUAUGGUGUGACUGCGUACCUUUUGUAUAAUGGGUCAGCGACUUAUUCUCAGUAGCAAGGUUAACCGAAUAGGGGAGCCGUAGAGAAAUCGAGUCUGAAUAGGGCGUUAAGUUGCUGGGAGUAGACCCGAAACCGGGUGAUCUAUCCAUGAGCAGGGUGAAGGUUAGGUAACACUGACUGGAGGCCCGAACCCACCGUCGUUGAAAAGCCGGGGGAUGACUUGUGGAUAGGGGUGAAAGGCUAAUCAAACUCGGUGAUAGCUGGUUCUCCCCGAAAGCUAUUUAGGUAGCGCCUCGGACGAAUACCACAGGGGGUAGAGCACUGUUUCGGCUAGCGGGUCAUCCCGACUUAGCAAACCGAUGCAAACUCCGAAUACCUGUGAGUACUAUCCGGGAGACAGACGGUGGGUGCUAAUGUCCAUCGUCAAGAGGGAAACAACCCAGACCGCCAGCUAAGGCCCCAAAUUUCUAGUUAAGUGGGAAACGAUGUGGGAAGGCAUAGACAGCUAGGAGGUUGGCUUAGAAGCAGCCACCCUUUAAAGAAAGCGUAAUAGCUCACUAGUCGAGUCGGCCUGCGCGGAAGAUGUAACGGGGCUAAAACUAGAAGCCGAAGCUGCGGAUGUGCACUCAGUGCACGUGGUAGGGGAGCGUUCUGUAAGUCUGCGAAGGUGUGUUGAGAAGCAUGCUGGAGAUAUCAGAAGUGCGAAUGCUGACGUGAGUAACGAUAAGGGGUGUGAAAAACAUCCCCGCCGGAAGACCAAGGGUUCCUGCGCAACGUUAAUCGGCGCAGGGUGAGUCGACCCCUAAGGCGAGGCUGAAAAGCGUAGUCGAUGGGAAACAGGUUAAUAUUCCUGUACCUCUUACUGAUGCGAUGGAGGGACGGAGAAGGCUAUAUCUACCAGCGAUCGGUUGUGCUGGGGAAAGGUUGUAGGCAUGUAGCUUAGGCAAAUCCGGGCUACUCUAUGCUGAGAACUGAGACGAAUUUGUACUUGUACAAAGAAGUGAUAGAUGCCAUGCUUCCAAGAAAAGCUCCUAAGCUUCAGUCAGUAAGGGAUCGUACCCGAAACCGACACAGGUGGUCAGGUCGAGAAGACCAAGGCGCUUGAGAGAACUCUGGUGAAGGAACUAGGCAAAAUAGUACCGUAACUUCGGGAGAAGGUACGCUGCUGAUGGUGAAGUCCUCGCGACGUAAGCUAUUGGCAGCCUCAGAAACUAGGCCGCUGCAACUGUUUAUUAAAAACACAGCACUCUGCAAACACGAAAGUGGACGUAUAGGGUGUGAUGCCUGCCCGGUGCUGGAAGGUUAAUUGAUGGGGUUAGCGAAAGCGAAGCUCUUGAUCGAAGCCCCAGUAAACGGCGGCCGUAACUAUAACGGUCCUAAGGUAGCGAAAUUCCUUGUCGGGUAAGUUCCGACCUGCACGAAUGGCAUAAUGAUGGCGGCGCUGUCUCC
rnacentral:rRNA from 1 species